rnacentral:rRNA from 1 species
GACGUAGGGGACGAGCGUUGUCCGGAUUCAUUGGGCGUAAAGCGCGCGCAGGUGGUUUCUUAAGUCUGAUGUGAAAGCCCACGGCUCAACCGUGGAGGGUCAUUGGAAACUGGGGAACUUGAGUGCAGAAGAGGAAAGUGGAAUUCCAAGUGUAGCGGUGAAAUGCGUAGAGAUUUGGAGGAACACCAGUGGCGAAGGCGACUUUCUGGUCUGUAACUGACACUGAGGCGCGAAAGCGUGGGGAGCGAACAGG